rnacentral:rRNA from 1 species
CCUACGGGUGGCAGCAGUGAGGAAUAUUGGUCAAUGGACGAGAGUCUGAACCAGCCAAGUAGCGUGAAGGAUGAAUGCCCUAUGGGUUGUAAACUUCUUUUAUAUGGGAAUAAAAUGUUCCACGUGUGGGAUUUUGUAUGUACCAUAUGAAUAAGGAUCGGCUAACUCCGUGCCAGCAGCCGCGGUAAUACGGAGGAUCCGAGCGUUAUACGGAUUUAUUGGGUUUAAAGGGAGCGUAGGUGGAUUGUUAAGUCAGUUGUGAAAGUUUGCGGCUCAACCGUAAAAUUGCAGUUGAAACUGGCAGUCUUGAGUACAGUAGAGGUGGGCGGAAUUCGUGGUGUAGCGGUGAAAUGCUUAGAUAUCACGAAGAACUCCGAUUGCGAAGGCAGUUCACUGGACUGCAACUGACACUGAGGCUCGAAAGUGUGGGUAUCAAACAGGAUUAGAUACCCGGGUAGUC